rnacentral:rRNA from 1 species
GACGAACGCUGGCGGCGUGCCUAAUACAUGCAAGUCGAGCGAAGUUUUUCUGGUGCUUGCACUAGAAAAACUUAGCGGCGAACGGGUGAGUAACACGUAAAGAACCUGCCUCAUAGAUUGGGACAACUAUUGGAAACGAUAGCUAAUACCGGAUAACAGCAUUAACUGCAUGGUUGAUGUUUAAAAGUUGGUUUUGCUAACACUAUGAGAUGGCUUUGCGGUGCAUUAGCUAGUUGGUGGGGUAAAGGCCUACCAAGGCGACGAUGCAUAGCCGACCUGAGAGGGUGAUCGGCCACACUGGGACUGAGACACGGCCCAGACUCCUACGGGAGGCAGCAGUAGGGAAUCUCCCGCAAUGGGCGAAAGCCUGACGGAGCAACGCCGCGUGAGUGAAGAAGGAUUUCGGUUCGUAAAGCUCUGUUGUUAGGGAAGAAUGAUUGUGUAGUAACUA